UAGUCCACACAGAUGUGUUAAAGGCCCAUUUAUGCUCCGUUUACGUACGAAAAUGUAUACGUCCGUUUCAAACGAUGUUACCGUCACUGCCCACGUACUUCCAUGCGUCCUUUACGUUGGCAUGG